rnacentral:lncRNA from 1 species
UAAUGCUCCCAGGUUGAUGCAAUGUAUUCCACCAGUUGAUGGAAGACUUGAUUAUUGGUAUAUCGAUCGGUCCAGCACGGAUUGAAAUAGGAGCCGGUUCGACAGAAAGCUUUUGAAAACGCAGUGCACCCAGGUAAAUAAGGAACAAGAUGAAUACAGAGGUUAAACGAGCAUCCCACACCCAAAAGGUGCCUAUAUCGAUCGGUCCAGCACGGAUUGAAAUAGGAGCCGGUUCGACAGAAAGCUUUUGAAAACGCAGUGCACCCAGGUAAAUAAGGAACAAGAUGAAUACAGAGGUUAAACGAGCAUCCUACACCCAAAAGGUGACCCACAUAGGUUUUCCCCGAAACCCCCCAGUAACUAAGGUAAACAACAUAGAAAAAGCACCUAUUUCUGUACCGAUUCCGGAAGAGCGAAGAAAAAGGGGAUGUUUUGUUAAUAGGAACAAAAAAGUGUUUAUAGCCGUAACGAUAUAAACA